rnacentral:rRNA from 1 species
UACGAAGGGGGCUAGCGUUGUUCGGAAUUACUGGGCGUAAAGCGCGCGCAGGCGGCUCUUCAAGUCAGGGGUGAAAGCCCAGAGCUCAACUCUGGAACUGCCUUUGAUACUGGGUAUCUUGAGUAUGGAAGAGGUAAGUGGAAUUGCGAGUGUAGAGGUGAAAUUCGUAGAUAUUCGCAGGAACACCAGUGGCGAAGGCGGCUUACUGGUCCAUAACUGACGCUGAGGUGGCGAAAGCGUCGGGGAGCAAACAGG